rnacentral:rRNA from 1 species
GGAAAGGCGCGCGAUACAGGGUGACAGCCCCGUACACAAAAAUGCACAUGCUGUGAGCUCGAUGAGUAGGGCGGGACACGUGGUAUCCUGUCUGAAUAUGGGGGGACCAUCCUCCAAGGCUAAAUACUCCUGACUGACCGAUAGUGAACCAGUACCGUGAGGGAAAGGCGAAAAGAACCCCGGCGAGGGGAGUGAAAAAGAACCUGAAACCGUGUACGUACAAGCAGUGGGAGCACGCUUAGGCGUGUGACUGCGUACCUUUUGUAUAAUGGGUCAGCGACUUAUAUUCUGUAGCAAGGUUAACCGAAUAGGGGAGCCGAAGGGAAACCGAGUCUUAACUGGGCGUUAAGUUGCAGGGUAUAGACCCGAAACCCGGUGAUCUAGCCAUGGGCAGGUUGAAGGUUGGGUAACACUAACUGGAGGACCGAACCGACUAAUGUUGAAAAAUUAGCGGAUGACUUGUGGCUGGGGGUGAAAGGCCAAUCAAACCGGGAGAUAGCUGGUUCUCCCCGAAAGCUAUUUAGGUAGCGCCUCGUGAAUUCAUCUCCGGGGGUAGAGCACUGUUUCGGCAAGGGGGUCAUCCCGACUUACCAACCCGAUGCAAACUGCGAAUACCGGAGAAUGUUAUCACGGGAGACACACGGCGGGUGCUAACGUCCGUCGUGAAGAGGGAAACAACCCAGACCGCCAGCUAAGGUCCCAAAGUCAUGGUUAAGUGGGAAACGAUGUGGGAAGGCCCAGACAGCCAGGAUGUUGGCUUAGAAGCAGCCAUCAUUUAAAGAAAGCGUAAUAGCUCACUGGUCGAGUCGGCCUGCGCGGAAGAUGUAACGGGGCUAAACCAUGCACCGAAGCUGCGGCAGCGACGCUGAUGCGUUGUUGGGUAGGGGAGCGUUCUGUAAGCCUGCGAAGGUGUGCUGUGAGGCAUGCUGGAGGUAUCAGAAGUGCGAAUGCUGACAUAAGUAACGAUAAAGCGGGUGAAAAGCCCGCUCGCCGGAAGACCAAGGGUUCCUGUCCAACGUUAAUCGGGGCAGGGUGAGUCGACCCCUAAGGCGAGGCCGAAAGGCGUAGUCGAUGGGAAACAGGUUAAUAUUCCUGUACUUGGUGUUACUGCGAAGGGGGGACGGAGAAGGCUAUGUUGGCCGGGCGACGGUUGUCCCGGUUUAAGCGUGUAGGCUGGUUUUCCAGGCAAAUCCGGAAAAUCAAGGCUGAGGCGUGAUGACGAGGCACUACGGUGCUGAAGCAACAAAUGCCCUGCUUCCAGGAAAAGCCUCUAAGCAUCAGGUAACAUCAAAUCGUACCCCAAACCGACACAGGUGGUCAGGUAGAGAAUACCAAGGCGCUUGAGAGAACUCGGGUGAAGGAACUAGGCAAAAUGGUGCCGUAACUUCGGGAGAAGGCACGCUGAUAUGUAGGUGAAGUCCCUCGCGGAUGGAGCUGAAAUCAGUCGAAGAUACCAGCUGGCUGCAACUGUUUAUUAAAAACACAGCACUGUGCAAACACGAAAGUGGACGUAUACGGUGUGACGCCUGCCCGGUGCCGGAAGGUUAAUUGAUGGGGUCAGCGCAAGCGAAGCUCUUGAUCGAAGCCCCGGUAAACGGCGGCCGUAACUAUAACGGUCCUAAGGUAGCGAAAUUCCUUGUCGGGUAAGUUCCGACCUGCACGAAUGGCGUAAUGAUGGCCAGGCUGUCUCCACCCGAGACUCAGUGAAAUUGAACUCGCUGUGAAGAUGCAGUGUACCCGCGGCAAGACGGAAAGACCCCGUGAACCUUUACUAUAGCUUGACACUGAACAUUGAGCCUUGAUGUGUAGGAUAGGUGGGAGGCUUUGAAGUGUGGACGCCAGUCUGCAUGGAGCCGACCUUGAAAUACCACCCUUUAAUGUUUGAUGUUCUAACGUUGACCCGUAAUCCGGGUUGCGGACAGUGUCUGGUGGGUAGUU